GGAGGGUCUAAGUGCGACUUCCUCUUUUCUGGGUCCCGCCUGCUGGCGCGGGAUCUCGGCCGGGUCGUCGGUUCUCGCGAGUUUCUUGUAGCCUUUGGUGCCGGGAGAUUCCUUUCAGAGCCAGACGCAAGAGCGGAGGCUUGGAUCUCUUUUCGAAAGGUCGGUGGCCGCACCGGGGGUGUGACGAGCCGUGGGACCCAGCUCUGAGGAAGAAGUAAAGCAUACCUGGGAGAUUCCAUGUCCAGUGGGGAACCCAAUGCAGGGCUUGAACUCAUGACUCUGAAAUCAAGGGUUGGACACUUAUACUGAACCACCCAGGCACCCUAAAGCUCAUGUCUUAAACAGAAGAGUUGUGAACAGAUGGAUGAGGGAUGACAUGUCAGUUUCUCAAUCUAAAGCGCUGGCUAAGACAACUAUGCUUCUCACCUUCCUUCAAUAACCUCAAAGCUGAGAGAGAGAGAGAGAGCGAGAGCGCACAAAAGUGCGCA